UUUGCAUCCUCUGUCUCACCUUAUAUUUCUCUGAAAUUGAGGUCUCAGAAAGGUUCCCCUCCUAGUACUUCACAAGACACACAAGUACCAGUCCCCAAGGACACAACAGGAACAACAGAUAUUAGAUUGACCAUUCAUCUGGCCGGCUGCUACAAGCCUUCUGAGGAGCCUUAGAAAAUGCUCUUCCCACCGCUAACCAGGGAGCCAGUGAGGGAGGCCGUUAUUCAGAAGUCUUGUUGUCGUGGGUGUGGGGGGGAGGACCCUGUAGUCAGGCUGGAGGCAGAAACUGAGGAAGUUCAGUUCCUAGCAUCAGAGAGAGGAGAGUGAAGAAGGAUGAAUGUGGGAAGAAGGAAGGCAGUGAAAAGCUAUAACAAAUGCCAUUCUAUAUCCUGCCUGUGAUGUAUGGCUACAAAUACCACGGACCCAAUCCCUCUCCCCACAGCACCUUGCCAUGCGUUUCUAGUUGAAGUUCUAUGGAGACAGUGCUUGAACAAAGGCUAAGCAGUCAGGAACCAACAAGUGGGCUUCUUUACAACACCUUUAUGCCCUCUGCAUCAGCUCCUGCCUCCAGGAUUCUGCACUUUGACUUCCUGCCCUGACUUCCCUCAGUGACCCACUCUGAUGUGGAAUUGUAAGGAGCUUUUGGUUAUGGCGUAGCAAACCUAGGACAGGUGAUAGAAACAAGCUCUCAUUGGACCUGUGGACUGGACUGCCUUGGGUGACCAUCAGUGGACCUGUGGACUGGACUGCCUUGGUGACCAUCACCGGACCUGUGGUCUGGACUGCCUUGGGUGACCAUCAGUGGACCUGUGGACUGGACUGCCUUGGGUGACCAUCAGUGGACCUGUGGACUGGACUGCCUUGGUGACCAUCAGUGGACCUGUGGACUGGACUGCCUUGGGUGGCCACUACGCCUCUGGGUUAUCCCGUCUCUGGUUCCCAGGACGGGGCUUCAGGCACAGGCUACCACCUCCAGCUUUUACAUGGUUGCUGGGGAUCUGGGCAACAUCCUCACUUUCACAUCAGUUUACCCUUUGACCUAUGCCCUCCAACCCAGAUUGCUCAAGUCUAACUCUGUGUUUCAUAAACUCCAGUGUCCCGAGGGAUUGUAAGACUCUUUAGUAGACGAUUUUAGAAAUCCCACAUAGAUCUGAGCUUCAGAAUGAGGGUUUUUUUUGUUGUUGUUGUUUGUUUGUUUGUUUGUUACUGGGUUACUGGUAUUGUUUCUUUUUCCAUAGCAAACAGGCAUAUUUUUAAUUGCCAAUUGUCGCCAAGAAGGUGGAUAAAUGCUCCAGACUGCCGGUGCUUAUGCGUGCCGCUGAAAUUCACUGAGACAGGAGUGGUCGUGACCUGUCUCCCAUGUAGCCGGGACCAGUCUGCUCAGUAUGAAGCUGUCACUGUUUUCACACUGUUGUGGGCCAGGGCUGUAUGAGUCCACAUAUCACCUGACCCUUGGCUUUAGAAGGUCAGAAAAUCACAAUCCUUGGUUUUUCAAAGAGGCUGACUCACUCAGGUAAACUGAGGCUUCCCCCACUGCUACCACUGAGCCAAAAUUAGAGUGGGAGUCCAAGUGAGCUGGACAGAGGAGAUCCCAUUAAGCUGUGUUCCCACAGCCACAGAUGCUCCCGGAACAGGGUGACCUCACUCUUGGGCAACUGAGGAAAGCCUCAGGCACGAUCCUGCAACUGCUGGCCUGGGGAAGAGUGCACACCCGCGUGCCCAAAGCAGCAGUUCGCUGCGAGUGCCGGAGUGGAUUCUGGACACGAACCCACGCUUUCUGCGAGUCUUUGGACAGGACAGGCACUUAUACAAACGUAAAAGAAGGGCCCAUGUGAGGGUAGAAUGAGUUCUCUCAUCUUGUAGCCAACCCAGCUUAUCAA